AACUUUCAGCAGUGGAUGUCUAGGCUCGCACAUCGAUGAAGAACGCUGCGAACUGCGAUACGUAAUGCGAAUUGCAGGGAGACAAACAGGUACACUCAACCUGACCAGCCCGGUUCUCCGUUGCCACGCAUUGGGGUGUCG
rfam:Phytophthora parasitica INRA-310 unplaced genomic scaffold supercont2.22, whole genome shotgun sequence.